AGAUUGAUGACUUUUUUAAGUUUCUGCCAGGCACUUGGGGUUCCUGUUAAUAGACUUGUGCAAGCUGCAGAUUCAGUUUCGGUCUGUCUCUCCAAAGGUUUGGGGGCUCCUGUUGGAUCUGUCAUUGUGGGUUCAAAAAGCUUUAUUACCAAGGUAAUGAUUGUAAAUUUGUUGUUCAAUGUUUUAUAUUCUUUAGGGGAUGGUACCAAUAUGUUUGUUUCUGUUUUAGGCUAAGAGACUUCGGAAAACCAUAUAGGUGGGGGAAUGAGGCAGAUUGGUGUCCUAUGUGCUGCUGCUUUUGUUGCAUUGCAAGAGAAUCUCCCAAAGCUUGAGGGUGAUCACAAGAGAGCAAAAGUUUUAGCAGAUGGACUGGCAC